UACCGUGGAUAAUUUAAUUUUACAAUACACUUUUGCAACCAUACCCAUAUGCCUAUUGCAUUGUUGGUGGAGUAGAGAGGUUAUUUCUUGGUGAUUUUUUAUUUCUAGAGCGGCUAUUUCUUUCUUGAUCAAGACCUUUGUUAAUCAAAUAGAUAACGUUGACGUACGACGCCUCCUGGCAACCAUGUUCAAAGACCACCGCAUUAAUUCUUCCGACAACAACAGCCGAGUUGCUACCCCAAAUUGCAUGAUAACAGUGCCUAAAUUGAUUCAUCUCCACGGUCAUUUUCUGUGGAUUAUUUCGCUGCUCUAACAAGGCAGUAAAGACAACGGGGAAAAUAUGUUUACAGAUUCCCCGCAAUCAUGAAACGCCAGUGAGAUAAGACUCAAGAACUGUCAGAAACGCGAAGAAACCUUUUUGCCCAUCAAGACCUGAACCCAGACAGCUGUCAGGGUCUGCUAAGAUCAUUUCAUCACUGGUUCACUAGCUGACCUCUAUCAAGACACCCAUGUCAACUGGAUUCCCACUGUGAAGAUGAGCAAUGCUGCAGCAGCAUGAGUUUCUACUUCUACUACUUUGUCCUUUUCCAGAUAUUUAAACAGACAUCUCUGUUAUAUGAGAUGGUAGUCAUAUGCUGUGCUUUGGUCAAUCUGAAUGAUUCUGUUGUGCCAUUUGAGUAGAGCACCUUUUUUAACUAGGCAAGCCAGUUAAGAACAAAGUCUUAUUUACACUGACGGCCUAGGAACUGCCUUGUUCAGGGGCAGAACGACAUAUUUUUACCUUGUCAGCUUGGGGAUUCGAUCUAGCAACCUUUCACCUUGUCGUCAUGACAAAAGUGCCCCCUUAAACCAUAGGAAUAUAAAAAAAAUAUUUGGAACGUGUAAAAUACUAUUGCUUAUGAUAUUGUAAACAUACUGUACUUUAAUAAUAGGCUAUUGUAUGGGUGAAAUAAAAAAUCUCUGCUUUGCCUAGCCCCAUUGAAUAAAAAAGUAUUUCUUAUA